rnacentral:rRNA from 1 species
AUUGAACGCUGGCGGCAGGCCUAACACAUGCAAGUCGAGCGGAUGAAGGGAGCUUGCUCCUGGAUUCAGCGGCGGACGGGUGAGUAAUGCCUAGGAAUCUGCCUGGUAGUGGGGGAUAACGUCCGGAAACGGGCGCUAAUACCGCAUACGUCCUGAGGGAGAAAGUGGGGGAUCUUCGGACCUCACGCUAUCAGAUGAGCCUAGGUCGGAUUAGCUAGUUGGUGGGGUAAAGGCCUACCAAGGCGACGAUCCGUAACUGGUCUGAGAGGAUGAUCAGUAAACUUGGACUUAGACAAGGGUCAGAAUCCUAAGGGAGGGAAGCAGUGGGAAUAUUUGACAAUUGGGGGAAGCCUGGAUCCAGCAUGGCGGGGUUGUUAAGAAAGGUUUUGGGUUUGAAAGGCCCUUUAAGUGGGGAGAAAGGGCAUUAGGUAAAUACCUGGUGGUUUGACGUUACCAACAGAAUAAGCACCGGCUAACUUCGUG